UACAGAGGGGGCAAGCGUUGUUCGGAAUUACUGGGCGUAAAGGGCGCGUAGGCGGCCUUCUAAGUCGAACGUGAAAUCCCCGGGCUCAACCCGGGAACUGCGUCCGAUACUGGAAGGCUUGAAUCCGGGAGAGGGAUGUGGAAUUCCAGGUGUAGCGGUGAAAUGCGUAGAUAUCGGGAGGAACACCAGUGGCGAAGGCGACUUCCUGGCCUGUUCUUGACGCUGAGGCGCGAAAGCUAGGGGAGCAAACGGG
rnacentral:rRNA from 1 species